GUGUCUGUUCACAGCAGUAAGACCCUAACUAAGACAGUAUUCUUUAUACUGUCAGGCCCAUUCAGUUCAUGGCUUUCCACACAGUUCCAAAAUGGACCCUCCAAUUAUGGACCAGCUCUGGUUUCUGGCAUGUUCUCAGGUUUAGCUGCUUGGAACAGUUCUAUCAUUCAAUGUCUUCCCCUUUCCACCCUUCAGAAAUCAGCUAUUAUUUAUAAGAAACCUUCCUCUUAAGUAUCUCAUGACUGCAGUCCUCUCUCUAGUCCCCACCUCCACCUCUCUCCUGGGGCUUCUUCACAACCCAGGCCAGUCUUGAGGUCAAACUUAGCUGCCCUCUCACUCUCAAGACUCCAGUCUGGUUGCCAUAGUGAUCUGUCCCUUAUGCAAACCUGGGCACAUCACUUGCAGAUCUAAUACCCCUCUACCUGUGGAAAUAUUUUCCCAGGACCCUCAGAACCAAGGGACCUCCCACCUCCAUGGGAGGUCAAGAGGGAUGGGGGGUGUGUGUCAGACCUCGAGGGUCUUUUACUGCAGGUUCUACUUGUAUGGUCUUACAUGGACAGAGGAGAGGUUUAAAAUAACCAAGGGUGCACCCUGUCCUACCUGCCCCUUGCUCCUGCACCCCUGAAGCAGGGCUCUCUGGUGGCCUUGAGGCAUGGAUGGGAUAUGGGAUAAACAUGAGACAGCUCCCUUCUCUUAGGAGCCAGGUUUGUUUGUCUUGGAACACUUCCUGCAAGAUGGGAAACGGGGAACGACACAACAACUGCGCCCUCUUCAGGCCAAGACCAGUAGGUUCACUUGCACAGUGAGGCCUCCUGCCCUUGGUUCAGUUAGUACUUGGCUCAGAUAGUGAGCAGGCUCCCUCUCUUUUAAAACACAUCGCUGGCCUGGAGGUGGUGGCGCACGCCUUUAAUCCCAGCACUUGGGAGGCAGAGGCAGGCGGAUUUCUGAGUUCGAGGCCAGCCUGGUCUACAAAGUGAGUUCCAGGACAGCCAGAGCUACACAGAGAAAAGCUGCCUCGAAAAACAGGAAAACAACAACAACAACAAAAAGAAUACAGUUGAUAAUGCAAAACAAACAAAACCAAAAAACACAUCACUGAAGAGUGACAUGCACACUGUGAGUUUAUAGAACUUAAAUAUAUGGUUCAGUGGGGGCGGGGGGAAUACAUUCCUAAUCACCCGGAAGUUGCCUGAUGUCCCUGCCAAGUCCACAUCCACACUUUCCCAGCCAGAGGUGCGCAGGAGUCAGACCAUGCCGAUUCUUCUUGAGAGUUAUGGAGCUGUGUAUAAACAGGGUCUCCAGGCCCAGAUCCGCUGUGUACAGGUUCUUUCUCAGCAUCGUGCCUGUGCAACUUCUUUGUAGUGACUGUGUGGAUUUUUAACUUGCAGGGAAAUACUCCAUUAUGUGCUAUAUACAAUGCAACCUGGUACCUUUUGUUUACCCAGCUUUCCGUUUGUACUUGGGCCUUUUUUCUUCUUCUCCUGUGUGGGGGCAAUUACAGAUAGGGCAUUUCCUACACUCAGGGCUUCUGUUCCAUGCCUGGCAUUGUCCUAUUGUGUUCCGGUCCUGGCCGUCUGUCCUGCUUUCCUCCCUCUCUGGGAACCUAUUUGGCUGCUGGGACUUAGGGUGUGUGACCUGGACCUUUGAUGGUCCUAUGGGGUCUCACACUACCUUGGAAGGCCAAGCUGUGGCUCUUAGUCCCUUAGAGCUGUGGCUCUAAGCUGUGACAGUCUUAGUCUGGGGAGACUGAGACUUGCUUCAUGGGCUUGCUUCUCUAUUCUUGCUGAUGCUAACAUCUGUGGACCACCUUUUAGCACUGGUUGCUCUUGCCUAACUCUUGUCUGCAUCCCUUGGCUGUCAGCCAGUUGGGAGGCUUCUUGUAUGCCUCCAAUGAGCCUUCAAGGAUGCUUCUGGAACUGGGAUAUUUAUCAGAGACAGAUCAGGAAAGCCAGCACCAUUACACAUGCAGCUCUGUGCUGCCUUGGGGACACAUUCUUGGCUGUCUUCCCAAAACGUUCGUGGUAUGGUACUGUCUGUCAGUAUUAACAAGCAUGGGUGUCCCUAAAUGUUUUUAUCUUUGUGUGUGUGUGUGUACUUGGGUGCACACAACUAGUAGUAUGUGCAUUCCUGCAUAUAAGUAUGCAUUUAUUUGAUUUGUACGUUAUCAUAAAAUAUUUUCUCUUUGCUAGGCAUGAUGGUCUGUGUGUAUAAUCUCAGAGUCCAGGAGGCUGGGGCAGGUAGGUAAAAGGCCAGCCUGGGCUAAAGAACAAGACCGAGUCUCAAGAAAACAGCACAAAACAAUAAAUAUGAGAUUUCUCCUAAACAGUGUGGUUUUGUUUUAAAGGUAUCUUCUCCACUUCCUUCCUUGUCCCCUCAAAGAUGUUGACUAACAUCAAGGCAACACCUUCUUUGUAGAUGAAAGAGGUAAGAUCCAUGUUUAUUCUGCCCCUUCCCAUGGCAUAGCCACAGGCAACAGAUACCUUAGCUCCUGCCAUAGGCAGGGAACAUGGGCUUGAGCUAUGUUUGGAAGGGGCAGGAUCUGGGGGACCCCCACUUAAUGCUGUAGGUGAUAAAGUGCUUGGAAGGGAUGGUGAAUGUCUGUUGACCAAGCAUGCAAAUCUGAGUUGUAACAUGUUACUUUUAGCUGUGUUGAUCUUGAGAAAACUACUCUCUGUGCUUCCGUGUCUCAAAGAAGUCAUCUCUGGUUGCGAGGGCCAAUAUGGCAGAUGCCAUUUACCUGUGGCCAGAGCGCUCAGAACAUGAGACCAG
rnacentral:lncRNA from 1 species